UUGCAUGUGGAAAUGUCUGUUCCUCAUUCUUUUAGGAGCAGAAAUAUAUCCAUAACAUAUACUAGAUUAAAAUAGGAGUUCUGAGGGCUUCCAACAUUACAGAAGAGGUUGAGUGGUAGUAUAUUUCUCCUACUUAA
rnacentral:snoRNA from 1 species